UACCUGAUUUCAACCCCCACACGGUAG
rnacentral:piRNA from 1 species